rnacentral:lncRNA from 1 species
AUGUGGCACAUGGGGACGUGGUCAGCGGGCACGUCCCAUGGGAUGAGGUUGGGCUUGGGGAUCUUGGAGGUCUUCUCCAACCUCAGUGAUUCUACGAUUCUCUGUUUCUGUGAUGCUAUGCCCAUGUCACAGGCACCCCAUGCGACAGCCCCGUGGGUGCUUGCCUGGUGCGUGCGGACAGACAGAGCUGCUGGCCUCGGAACAGCUGCGUCCCCGAGUCACUUAUGGAACCAAGCCAAGAGCUGGGUGCAAAUCAGCACAGGACAACUUCUAAACAGGGACCUUGGAUGCGCUGAGCGAGAGAGCUCCCAUGGACACUUCAGCCUUCACACCCUAUACAUCACUAUGUGUAGAUCCUCAAUCCUCAAGUCAAUGUUCUGCACCUGUUCCACCCCAUUGGCAGCCUGUCUUCUGCUGUCUCCACUCACCGUCUCUUGUGCCCAUCCAGAGAGAAUUCCACAGAGAAAUGCACACGGGCAGUCUCAUAAAGCACAAGCAGUGUCAUCAGAGCUCUCCUGGCUCAAAAUGAAGAAACGAGAAGGUAAGAAGUAAACCAAUAGAGAAGAAGGGCGUGAAGUUCAACAGGCAGGAAAAAUGAAGGCAGACAAUGAGUUGUUUGUAUGUAGGUAGUAAAAGACCAAAAAAGUUACCAGUCUGUUUCUCAGCUUCCAGAAAACUGCUGAUGUCUUGGACAAAACACAUUAACUUCAGGUAUACUGGAGAUAAUCAGGAUUUUCAUUGCACCCUAAACGAAUAUAGAAAGCAAUAUAUAUAACAUACCCAGUAUCUAUAAAUACAUGUUUGCAGUAUCAUCACUGGAUCUCUGUAUACAGCCUUUGCCUCUAAUGAUCAGCUGCCACAAUAUAAAUAUCCAACAAUCCGGAAAGGUGCAUUUAUAUGCAUGGCUAUUGUAUACUAAUUAUUAGCACCACAUAUGCCAGAGAGGUUUAACUGUGUAAUAGAUAUAGAUCUAACUAAAUACCAUAGGUGUUAAAGCACAAGCAACACAUUUUUUGUUAAUCAAACGAUACUGAAUUAACAUACUGUACAAUAAUUGCCUUGUUAAAUUUAAAUUAAAACCUUAUUUGAG